AUGAUGAUGAUGAUGCACCCUCAGCUUCAAAAACCACCCACCUCCGCUAGAUCUACUCCUCUCUUACCACCAAAAACCGUCAGCUCCACCAUUCUGAUGAGCAGUCCUGCUUCCAUCCUCCACAAUAUUCUUCCCGCACGCGUCCACACAAAGCAGUACUUGAGCAAAAAAUAUAAUCGCAUCCGUGCCUCCAGUGGUGAAGUAAAGGCAGCGACGACGACUGCAACCACCGCAGGGUUGGAUCAAAACAACAACAACAACUAUAAUACUGCAGUUUCAGUGAAGGCAGUGGUUACGGUGCAAGAAACAGCGGCCAACCUCCUCGACAGCGAAACCUUCCUUCUCGAGCUUGUCAGCGCUGAACUCGACCCCAAGACUGGAUUGGAGAAAGAAACAAUAAAGGGGUAUGCGGACAAAGUGACUCAAAAAGAGACGAUUGUGACGUACGAGAGUGUGCUGACUAUCCCGCCAGGUUUUGGGGAUAUCGGAGCGGUUCAGGUUGAGAAUGAGCACCAGAAGGAGGCUUACAUCAAGAAUAUCGAGCUCACCGGAUUCCCAGAUGGUACUUCCGUUAGUGUUCCAUGUAAUUCAUGGACUCAUUCCAAGUAUGAGAACUAGCAGAAGAGAGUCUUUUUCACCAACAAGUGUUACAUACCAUCGAAGACACCAAGCGGGAUCAAGAGGCUAAGAGAAGAGGAGCUGCAACUUCUGCGAGGAAAUGGGGAGGGUGAGCGAAAAGCAUCUGAAAGGAUUUACGAUUAUGAUACAUACAAUGAUCUUGGAGACCCGGAUAGCAAAGACGAGUUGGCCAGGCCUGUCCUCGGUGGCAAAGAGCACCCGUACCCUAGGCGCUGCAGAACUGGACGACCGCGCACUAAAAAGGAUCCAUUAUCUGAGGAAAGAAGCAGCAGCGUAUAUGUACCAAGAGAUGAAGCGUUUGCAGAGUUGAAACAGCUCACUUUCUCUGCAAAUACCCUGAAAUAUGUGCUGCCCGCAUUGCUUUAUCAGCUUGAGAUAACACUUGUUGAUCCAAAGCUAGGAUUUCCCUACUUCACAGCCAUAGAUUCAUUGUUCAACGAAGGAAUCACAUUGCCUGAGCCAAAAUCGAGUGGCUUUUUUCGGUCAUUCAUCCAAAGGCUAAUGAAGGGUAUCAGCAAUGGACAAGAUGAUCUCUUGCUCUUUGAGACCCCUGAAAUAAUUGAUCGUGAUAAAUUUUCUUGGCUCAAAGAUGAAGAGUUUUCUCGGCAAACUCUAGCUGGUCUCAAUCCAUAUAGCAUAGGGCUAGUUACAGAAUGGCCUUUGAAAAGUAAACUUGACCCCGAGAUUUAUGGCAAAGCUGAAUCAUUGAUCACCACAGAACUUGUGGAGAAGGAAAUCAGAGGCUGUAUGACUGUCGAUGAGGCGUUAAAAAGAAAGAAGCUCUUUAUUUUGGAUUAUCAUGAUCUGCUCAUGCCUUAUGUAAACAAAGUGAGAGAGGUUGAAGGAACUACACUGUAUGGUUCUCGAACACUAUUCUUCCUCACAGAGAAUGGUAUACUGAUGCCUAUUGCCAUUGAACUCACUCGACCACCUAUUGAUGACAAGCCCCAAUGGAAGGAUGUGUUUACCCCAACCUGGGAUGCAACUGGUUGCUGGCUGUGGAGGCUUGCCAAAGCCCAUGUUUGUGCUCAUGAUGCUGGCUUUCAUCAACUUGUCAUCCACUGGCUGAGGACUCAUUGUUGUACAGAACCAUACAUAAUUGCAGCAAAUAGACAACUAAGUGCAAUGCAUCCCAUCUAUAGGCUUUUACAUCCUCAUUUUAGGUAUACAAUGGAAAUCAACGCUUUGGCUCGACAAAGCCUCAUCAAUGCAGGUGGAAUCAUUGAGACCUGCUUCUCACCAGCCAAGUACUCAAUUGAGCUCAGUUCUGCUGCUUAUGACCAGCUUUGGCGCUUCGACAUGGAAGCUUUGCCUGCAGAUCUAAUUAGAAGGGGAAUGGCAGUUGAGGAUCCUACAGCUGAGCAUGGUGUGAAGCUAACAAUUGAAGACUACCCAUUUGCAAAUGAUGGUCUCAUUCUGUGGGAUGCCAUUAAAGAGUGGGUGGCUGACUAUGUGAACCACUAUUAUCCAGACCCAGCUCUUGUGGAUUCUGAUAACGAGCUUCAAGAAUGGUGGACAGAAGUUAGAACCAAGGGCCAUGCAGACAAAAAAGAUGAACCAUGGUGGCCUGUUUUAAAAACCCCAAAAGAUCUCAUUCAUAUUUUGACAACUAUAAUUUGGGUUACAGCGGGACAUCAUGCUGCAGUGAACUUUGGCCAGUACACGUAUGCCGGAUACUUCCCGAACCGGCCCACAAUAGCCCGAAGUAACAUGCCAACUGAAGAUGCAAACGAAGAUCGUUUCAAGAUAUUUAUGAAGAAACCAGAAGCUGCAUUGCUGAGGUGCUUCCCUUCUCAGAUUCAGGCAACAAAAGUGAUGGCUGUCUUGCACGUGUUAUCGAACCAUUCACCAGACGAGGAGUACAUUGGUGAGACUGUGGAGUCGUCUUGGGCUGAAAACCCUGUGAUAAAUGCAGCUUUCGAGAGGUUCAAUGGUAACUUGAAGAAGCUAGAAGGAAUAAUUGAUGAGAGGAACACCAAUAUGGAACUGAAAAACAGAGUUGGAGCAGGGGUUGUUCCAUAUGAGCUUCUGAAGCCAUUCUCUAGACCAGGGGUCACAGGAAAGGGAGUUCCCAACAGCAUCUCCAUCUAA